GUGCCCCUCUCUCUUUUCUUCCUUUGGAUUCGUAGCCUCCCAUACUUAUGCCUGCUAGAAAUCGAAUCUAUUGGCACCAUGGAAUCGAGGUAAAAUCAUGAUCUCACUUCCUCUCUUUCUUUGGCCUUGCACAUGCCACCAACCAUUGGGUUCAUCCCCUACUUUUGGCCAGGUUCUUUUCAUUUUUUUUGGCCGUUAGCAUUGCCGUCCCUUAAAACCAAGUUCUAGAUCG
rnacentral:lncRNA from 1 species